rnacentral:SRP_RNA from 1 species
GCUGGGUGUGGUGCUGAGCACCUGUAAUCCCAGCUACUAGGGAGGCUGAGGCAGGAGAAUAGCUUGAACCCAGGAGGCGGAGGCUGCAGUGAGCUGAGAUCGUGCCACUGCACUCCAGCCUGGGUGAAAGAGUAAGACCCUGUCUCAA